rnacentral:rRNA from 1 species
UACAGAGGGUGCGAGCGUUAAUCGGAAUUACUGGGCGUAAAGCGUGCGUAGACGGUUGCGUAAGUCAGAUGUGAAAGCCCCGGGCUCAACCUGGGAAUUGCAUUUGAGACUGCGUAGCUAGGGUGCGGAAGAGGGAAGCGGAAUUUCCGGUGUAGCGGUGAAAUGCGUAGAUAUCGGAAGGAACACCAGUGGCGAAAGCGGCUUCCUGGUCCAGCACCGACGUCAGGCACGAAAGCGUGGGGAGCAAACAGG